rnacentral:misc_RNA from 1 species
ACAUCCCUGUCCCUGCUCCUCUCCUGUUCCUCCUCUCUUCUUACAUCCCUCUCCCUACUCCUCUCUCGUUCCUUCUCUCUUCUCAUAUCACUCUCCCUGCUUGUGCUUCUCUCUUGUUCCUUCUCUCUUCCCAGAACCUUGUCCCCGUUUCUCUCUCGCUCCUUCUCUCUUCUCAGAUCCAUGUCCCUGCUCCUCUCUCGAUCUCUCUCUCUUCUCUGAUCCCUGUCCCUGCUGCUCUCUCCUUCCAGAUCCCUUCUCCGUUCCCAGUCCGUCUCCUUCUCCCUGUUCACCUCUCUGCCACAUGCAUCCCUGCUGCUAUGCUUGUCCCCACCUCCUAGCCUUCUGUUGUAACUGGUACUGUGCUCCCUCUCCAAAUCUUUACUACCACGCUGUAGACCCCUAUCAUGUCGAGACAUUCUUUCAUCAUCAGAAUCAUUCUCAUCCCUUCCAUUGUGUCGCCCUUUCUUUGAAAGAACAUCCUCUUCUACUAUGCUAUGAGAAUGAGAUCGCUCCCUAGCAAAAUCACAUGACAAUGAUCUACUCCUAGCAACAACCUCAUCAUAGUACCUAUCAUGAGAUGCAGAGCCUGUCACAGUCUUGUAUUUAUCCCCCCCACUUUCAGAAGAUGCUGAUUUCCCCCAAUCGCUUAAUUUACUUUCAUCACCCUCAGGUGUAUCAACAUCAUGGUAACUCUUUCGCUUGUGGCUUCCUUUAGAACAGCCCAAUUCCCCAUGUUGUUUCUUGCCUGAUUUACGAUGUUCAGGCCCCAAAUCUCCAUUGGCAUGAACAUCAAGGUCAUCUCUAGGAACUAAUCCAUCUCGAGCCUGAGACCUAGGAUCUUUGGACAAACUAACCUUCCUGUGUACCUUAUUAGCAUUGUUAAAAUUAGUUAAACCACUGUCACUAUUGUCAGCAUGAACUCCCUGCAAUACAAUGGAAGACAAUUAAGGGACAUAAAUUUGCAAGGGCAUGACAACCACCACUUAAUAAGUAAAUUACUCGACAAAAAUUAGUGAACAUGCAGAAAUGAAAUAGAAAUAAACUUGUAACUAGCUCUUACAAUCAAAAAUACGCCACCAGUUCUCCAUUGAAACGCCUAAGGGAAACUUCUUUCUUUUUGCAAUUCACUCAUGUUCGUGUGUAGUGCAAGCAGGUUCUUACUUAUAUAUGUGUAUGGAACAUACUCUAACAGGUUCUCAUCAAACAAAAAAUCAUCAUACAUUCCAUAUAAAUUAUAACACAACCAUAAGCAUCCGAUUGGCCACUGAGAAAACUAAGUUCGAAAAUAGAGGGAGAAAAAAAAUUCAUUUAAAACGUCAAAAAGUUUUGAUAAUUCUUGGCUGCCAGUAUAAGGACGCUAUUCUGCACAAAAGCAAGCUUUUCACAAUCGUUCAAAACGUAAGUUUUAAAUAUACACUUCAUUAUUGCACAUUUAUUUCCCCAAUUUUCUCAGCGACCAAACAGAAAGCCAAAAACCAUAUAAAAACAAUUCAGAUGAUUAAUUAAAACACAUAAGGACUGACAGAACACACCAGAUUUUGGGAACCCAUUUUUUCCUGGCGUAAUUCGAUGGCCUUUACACUG